UGGGGAAUAUUGCACAAUGGGCGAAAGCCUGAUGCAGCAACGCCGCGUGAGUGAUGAAGGCCUUCGGGUUGUAAAGCUCUGUCUUCUGGGACGAUAAUGACGGUACCAGAGGAGGAAGCCACGGCUAACUACGUGCCAGCAGCCGCGGUAAUACGUAGGUGGCAAGCGUUGUCCGGAUUUACUGGGCGUAAAGGAUGCGUAGGCGGAUACCUAAGUCAGAUGUGAAAAUCCCGGGCUUAACUUGGGAACUGCAUUUGAAACUGGGUAUCUAGAGUGCGGGAGAGNAAAGUGGAAUUCCUAGUGUAGCGGUGAAAUGCGUAGAGAUUAGGAAGAACACCAGUGGCGAAGGCGACUUUCUGGACCGUAACUGACGCUGAGGCAUGAAAGCGUGGGGAGCAAACA
rnacentral:rRNA from 1 species